UGUNGGAAACUGCCUGAUGGAGGGGGAUAACUACUGGAAACGGUAGCUAAUACCGCAUAACGUCGCAAGACCAAAGAGGGGGACCUUCGGGCCUCUUGCCAUCAGAUGUGCCCAGAUGGGAUUAGCUAGUAGGUGGGGUAACGGCUCACCUAGGCGACGAUCCCUAGCUGGUCUGAGAGGAUGACCAGCCACACUGGAACUGAGACACGGUCCAGACUCCUACGGGAGGCAGCAGUGGGGAAUAUUGCACAAUGGGCGCAAGCCUGAUGCAGCCAUGCCGCGUGUAUGAAGAAGGCCUUCGGGUUGUAAAGUCACUUUCAGCGGGGAGGAAGGUGUGUGGUAAUAACCACAGCAAUUGACGUUACCCGCAAAGAAGCACCGGCUAACUCCGUGCCAUCAGCCGCGGUAAUACGGAGGGUGCAAGCGUUCAAUCGGAACUUACUCGGGCGUAAAGCGCACGCAGGNGGNCUUGUCAAGUCGGNAUGUGAAAUCCCCGGGGCUACCAACCUGGCGACACUGGCCACUUNCCGGAACAAACNUUUGGGACACAGGAGGCNUACAAAAGGUUCCUCUGGAUCAGAAAGCGNGGGACGNGACUAA
rnacentral:rRNA from 1 species